rnacentral:rRNA from 2 species
UGCAGUCGAGCGGAGCUAUGUGGAGCUUGCUCCAUUAUGCUUAGCGGCGGACGGGUGAGUAACACGUGGGCAACCUGCCCUGCAGAUCGGGAUAACUCCGGGAAACCGGUGCUAAUACCGAAUAGUUUGCGGCCUCUCAUGAGGCUGCACGGAAAGACGGUUUCGGCUGUCACUGCAGGAUGGGCCCGCGGCGCAUUAGCUAGUUGGUGAGGUAACGGCUCACCAAGGCCACGAUGCGUAGCCGACCUGAGAGGGUGAUCGGCCACACUGGGACUGAGACACGGCCCAGACUCCUACGGGAGGCAGCAGUAGGGAAUCUUCCGCAAUGGACGAAAGUCUGACGGAGCAACGCCGCGUGAGUGAAGAAGGUUUUCGGAUCGUAAAACUCUGUUGUGAGGGAAGAACAAGUACCAACUAACUACUGGUACCUUGACGGUACCUCACCAGAAAGCCACGGCUAACUACGUGCCAGCAGCCGCGGUAAUACGUAGGUGGCAAGCGUUGUCCGGAAUUAUUGGGCGUAAAGCGCGCGCAGGCGGUCCUUUAAGUCUGAUGUGAAAGCCCACGGCUCAACCGUGGAGGGUCAUUGGAAACUGGGGGACUUGAGUGCAGAAGAGGAAAGUGGAAUUCCACGUGUAGCGGUGAAAUGCGUAGAGAUGUGGAGGAACACCAGUGGCGAAGGCGACUUUCUGGUCUGUAACUGACGCUGAGGCGCGAAAGCGUG